UUUGGGUUGAGGCUUUUAUGUGUAGCAAUUAAAAAAGCAGCGAAAACUUGGCUUCCGCUCAUCCCUGAGCUCAAGUUUCGCUUGUUUUGUUGUUUGUGGAGCAGUUUAGGGUGUUUGGAUGUGAGUGGCCAGGUGUUUCCAAUAUUGAACCUCUUCGUGUGGAAACGUGCACAGAUAAGAGAGCUCAGUCUGUCACAAGCCUUGCUGCUGCUCUUCCAGCGUUUGAAGUUCUGACUUGAAAGGACUGACUUCUGAGAAAUCGAGGCACAGAGUCCCAGCCCCUCUCUUUCAGCAGGAACUCUGUGACAGAGAUUCAGAUUAGGAGCUGGACUCGUUCUCCAGUGAGUACCCCGUGCCUGGCUGGGAACUGUGUUUGAGCUCCACAGUGCUGCUUAGGCUCGCACCUCCCCUCUGAGAAGGCAAGACUUUUAAAGCUUGGUAAAUAAACACUGGAUAAACUCAAGAGAAUUUCUGGACUGCAAAGACUUCUUACGGUUCUGAGUCCUCCAGGGCUGGCAUGUUUUGACUGAGCUGCUGCAAAAAGAAAACGAGAGCUGAAAAUGGCAAUGGAUGAAUCAUGCUUAUUACAGAAUACGGAAAUGAUAUUGGUUCGACCUGUUCCUGUUAAUGCUGAAAGAAUAUAAUCUUGAGCCCUCUCAUUUUAUGUCACUGCAACCCACCUUAUCCUCUUAAAUGAAUGCAUGCAUCCAUUUAAUUAACCUGGUGAGAUACUGAGAUAUAAAUCUUUUAAAUGCUUCUCAUGCAAUUCAUCUUGACAGCUGUCGUAGUAAUAACAUCUUUAAUGCCGUAUUCUUUAUUUUCUCAUGUAUUGAAAUUCCUGGUAUUAUUUUGAGCACAGUGAUAGGUUUGCUGGAUUUAAGCCCUUAAUCUUAACUUGUUUAAAUCCUCAGUGCAGUGCAAUAGAAAGCUUUACUGGUUGUUUAGUUUGCUGAAUAAAUGGAAGAUUACUUUGCAUG